UACGUAGGAGACGAGCGUUGUUCGGAUUCACUGGGCGUAAAGGGUGCGUAGGCGGUCGGGUAAGUCUGAUGUGAAAUCUCACAGCUUAACUGUGAAACUGCAUUGGAUACUAUCCGGCUCGAGGAAUGGAGGGGAGACUGGAAUACUUGGUGUAGCAGUGAAAUGCGUAGAUAUCAAGUGGAACACCAGUGGCGAAGGCGAGUCUCUGGACAUUUCCUGACGCUGAGGCACGAAAGCCAGGGGAGCAAACGGG
rnacentral:rRNA from 1 species